UGUCCUGUAUGGAAACAGACUCAGAAGUGUCAGUCUUUUGGGUGUUACAAAGCAUUAGAGAGUGUUCGCUUAGCAGCAGUGAAAUAAACACCUCAUGAGGUGAAUGCAUUCACCUCUCUGUCCAUCCCAGCCACCGGGGAUUAGAGCACCACCGCUGCCAGGGACUUACCUUUCCAUCCUGGCUGUGCCCAGAGUAACACUGGCCUCCCACCGCUUCUGAGAAGAGAAGGCCCAGAAGUUCAUAAAAAGGCAAGAAAGGGUUAAUGCAAAUGAGGGAGAAAAAAGAACAGGCCGAUAAGAGUGCACAUCGGUGGGAAGAGACAUUUAUAGUGUGCCGUUGCUCGGUGCAACAGUUCAGAAAAAGAAGUUGUGGAUUCUCCCUGAUUGGAGGUUUCUUUUAAAAACAGGUCUUCCAAGGGAAAGAUCCACGUGUGGAAAGGCUGUUUCUCCUUCAACCUGGGAGAAGUCCAGGACCAGGGCCGACAGUAGGAAGGAAUCUCCUUUCCCCACGUCUGUCAGGUGUACUGUUUGCUGCUGCCGUGAGAACAAGCUCACCCACCAGAGGGAUAGGAUGACACGGAUGACUGAGCUUUCUCUAAGGAGACUAUAAGAAAACACCAGUGGGUAAAACAUUGAUCAACACUUCGUUUCAUGUUCAAGAAACAGUCAUCGAUCUUACUGAAUUACUAAUCCAGCAAAUUAUCCAGAAUUUGAUUCACUAUUUCCUUCUAUACUUAGCAAAGGACUUAAAAGAUAAUCAGGCAGCAGGAAACCUAAAAACCCAAUUCAAGCACCCACAAAAAGAAAUCGUCUUGGCUGGUGUCACUGGAACCGUCAGGGAUAGAACUGGCCUCAGUGUCGCUGGGUCACGUCUGGCUAUGAUUCUCUUCACUCUUUUGGCUGUGCCCUUGUCAACAGCUGACUUCCUCAGGCUGAUCCCCAGUGAAGCAGUUGCCAUGGAAACAGAAUCCAAUACCUCUCUCUGGAGCUUCACAUCAAUGCAAUUUGAUGAGAGGAACUCACACACCACCUCCUACCUCUAUUUUAUAAGUCUGAAGAUCUAUUACCUCCAAAAGAUGCAAGU